GUGCCUGCCUCAGCAGCAUGUAUCUUAAAGUAGGAACAAUACGGGGAAGAUUUGCAUGGACCUUCUACAAAGAUGACAUUGAAAUCUAUGAAGCAUUACACAGAAAA